GCAAGUCGACCGUGAAAACACCUUCGGGUGCAAGUAAAGAGGCAAAAGGGUGAGUAACACGUAAUCAACCUACCCUCGAGAUGGGGACAACCACUGGGAUCGGUGGCUAAUACCCAAUAUUGACCCUGGUCGCAUGGCCGGGAGUCGAAACGGAUGGGAUCCUUCGGGACCUUCUGCUCGGGGAGGGGAUUGCGGACUAUCAGCUUGUUGGUGAGGUAAUGGCUCACCAAGGCGAUGACGGUUAGCCGGUCUGAGAGGAUGUCCGGCCACACUGGGACUGAGACACUGCCCAGACUCCUACGGGAGGCUGCAGUCGAGAAUCUUCCGCAAUGGACGAAAGUCUGACGGGGCGACGCCGCGUGAAGGAUGAAGGCCCUCGGGUUGUAAACUUCUGUCAAGUCUCAAGGAAUGGGUAUGGGUUAAUAGUCCAUGCCUUGACGUUAGGUCUAAAGGAAGCACCGGCUAACUCUGCGCCAGCAGCCGCGGUAAUACAGAGGGUGCAAACGUUGUUCGGAAUCACUGGGCUUAAAGCGCGCGUAGGCGGCGAUAUAAGUGUCUUGUGAAAGCCCCCGGCUCAACCGGGGAACUGCAGGGCAUACUGUAUUGCUAGAGUACGAGAGGGGAGAGGAGAACUCCUGGUGGAGCGGUGGAAUGCGUAGAUAUCAGGAGGAAUGCCGAAGGUGAAGACACCUCUCUGGCUCGUAACUGACGCUAAGGCGCGAAAGCUAGGGUAGCGAACGGGAUUAGAUACCCCGGUAGUCCUAGCCCUAAACGAUGGGUACUAGGUAGGGGAGGUUCCUAUAUUUUCCCUGCCGAAGCAAAGUAUUAAGUACCCCGCCUGGGGAGUACGGUCGCAAGGCUAAAACUCAAAGGAAUUGACGGGGGC
rnacentral:rRNA from 1 species